AGCAGAGUUUGUUCAAAGCACCGCAGUGAUGGAGUAUGUUGGUGAGCCCUGCGACCAUCCAGGGUGUCCCCUAGGCUCCAUUACCCCCCGCCAACUUCAAUCAGACACGUGGAAGAAAAUUCACAGAUGGAUUGCUUUGUUACAACCACUCGAGCAGCAUUAACAGCUCACUACUCCAUUUACCCAAGACUUGGAUUGUCUCUAACUCAUUUACCACCAUCAGAGGAUCGGCGCUUCAGGCAAGCAUGAAUGGGGUUGGAUAUAAGGAAAAAAGACUGCUUUCAUGUCCCGAUGUGAUCUCUUCAAAUGGGACCUGGAACCUGGGAGUGAAAUAUUGUUUAGCUGUGUGUACCGCACAAGCUUUUUCAUCAUAAGAUGAGAGAUACUGGUGUGUGUAAGCCCAGAAACCGGUCUUGAGAGGUUUGGUAAAGAACUGGGGUUGUGCAGAUCAAAGGAAUAUAAACCUUGAUCAUUCAUCUAUCAGAGCUGUGUGUAGGUUUCUGAAGUCUGAACUUUUUAAAAAAAAAAUUCACCAAUAUUUCAGUCUGUCAUUUUGUUCAGAUUGAAUAAUAUCAUCAAAAUUUAGAACAGGGCUUUUAGUUAAGUGCUUACCUGUUUUUUAUUUACUUUUUCCCAGAUUUCCUUAUCUCUCAC